rnacentral:rRNA from 1 species
UACGAGGGGGGCAAAUGUUGUUCGGAAUCACUGGGCGUAAAGGGAGCGUAGGCGGGUUUCUAAGUCAGGUGUUUAAUCCCGGGGCCCAACCCCGGACAGGCACUUGAAACUGGGAAUCUUGAAUAGUGGAGAGGUCAGUGGAAUUGGGGGUGUAGCGGUGGAAUGCGUAGAGAUCCCCAAGAACACCAGUUGCGAAGGCGGCUGACUGGACACAUAUUGACGCUGAGGCUCGAAAGCGUGGGGAGCGAACAGG